rnacentral:rRNA from 1 species
AAGACUACCCGCUGAACUUAAGCAUAUCAAUAAGCGGAGGAAAAGAAACCAACAGGGAUUGCCUCAGUAACGGCGAGUGAAGCGGCAAAAGCUCAAAUUUGAAAUCCUCCGGGAAUUGUAAUUUGAAGGUGGGGUUGAAUAGGUCUAGAUACUUUAAGUCCAUUGGAAAAUGGCGCCAUGGAGGGUGAUAGCCCCGUAAAAGUAUUCAAACCUUCUUUUCUUCCCCUCCUAAGAGUCGAGUUGUUUGGGAAUGCAGCUCUAAGUGGGUGGUAAAUUCCAUCUAAAGCUAAAUAUUGGCGAGAGACCGAUAGCGAACAAGUACAGUGAUGGAAAGAUGAAAAGCACUUUGAAAAGAGAGUGAAAAAGUACGUGAAAUUGUUGAAAGGGAAGGGCUUGCAAGCAGACACAACCUCGGUUGGGCCAGCAUCGGAGUGGGGGGAGACAAAAAAGGUUAGGAAUGUAGCUCAUCUCGAGUAUUAUAUCCUGGCCCUAUAUCUCCACCCCCUUCCGAGGCCUGCGAU